rnacentral:rRNA from 1 species
AUGAACGCUAGCGACAGGCCUAACACAUGCAAGUCGAGGGGCAGCAUGGUAUCAGCUUGCUGAUACCGAUGGCGACCGGCGCACGGGUGAGUAACGCGUAUCCAACCUGCCCAUCACUUGGGGAUAACCUUGUGAAAGUAAGACUAAUACCCAAUGACGUCUCUAGAAGACAUCUGAAAGAGAUUAAAGAUUUAUCGGUGAUGGAUGGGGAUGCGUCUGAUUAGCUUGUUGGCGGGUAACGGCCCACCAAGGCGACGAUCAGUAGCCGGACUGAGAGGUUGAACGGCCACAUUGGGACUGAGAUACGGCCCAGACUCCUACGGGAGGCAGCAGUGGGGAAUAUUGCACAAUGGAGGAAACUCUGAUGCAGCGACGCCGCGUGAGUGAAGAAGUAAUUCGUUAUGUAAAGCUCUAUCAGCAGGGAAGAUAGUGACGGUACCUGACUAAGAAGCUCCGGCUAAAUACGUG